AGAGUUUGAUCCUGGCUCAGGACGAACGCUGGCGGCGUGCCUAAUACAUGCAAGUCGAGCGGGUCUCUUCGGAGGCCAGCGGCGGACGGGUGAGGAACACGUGGGUAAUCUGCCUUUCAGGCCGGAAUAACGCCCGGAAACGGGCGCUAAUGCCGGAUACGCCCGCGAGGAGGCAUCUUCUUGCGGGGGAAGGCCCAAUUGGGCCGCUGAGAGAGGAGCCCGCGGCGCAUUAGCUGGUUGGCGGGGUAACGGCCCACCAAGGCGACGAUGCGUAGCCGACCUGAGAGGGUGACCGGCCACACUGGGACUGAGACACGGCCCAGACUCCUACGGGAGGCAGCAGUAGGGAAUCUUCCGCAAUGGGCGCAAGCCUGACGGAGCAACGCCGCGUGAGCGAAGAAGGCCUUCGGGUUGUAAAGCUCUGUUGCUCGGGGAGAGCGGCAUGGGGGAUGGAAAGCCCCAUGCGAGACGGUACCGAGUGAGGAAGCCCCGGCUAACUACGUGCCAGCAGCCGCGGUAAAACGUAGGGGGCGAGCGUUGUCCGGAAUCACUGGGCGUAAAGGGUGCGUAGGCGGUCGAGCAAGUCUGGAGUGAAAGUCCAUGGCUCAACCAUGGGAUGGCUUUGGAAACUGCUUGACUUGAGUGCUGGAGAGGCAAGGGGAAUUCCACGUGUAGCGGUGAAAUGCGUAGAGAUGUGGAGGAAUACCAGUGGCGAAGGCGCCUUGCUGGACAGUGACUGACGCUGAGGCA
rnacentral:rRNA from 1 species